rnacentral:rRNA from 1 species
UGGGGGAUAUUGCACAAUGGAGGAAACUCUGAUGCAGCAACGCCGCGUGAGGGAAGAAGGUCUUCGGAUUGUAAACCUUAGUAGUCAGGGACGAAUAAAUGACGGUACCUGAAGAGUAAGCUCCGGCUAACUACGUGCCAGCAGCCGCGGUAAUACGUAGGGAGCGAGCGUUGUCCGGAUUUACUGGGUGUAAAGGGUGCGUAGGCGGGACUGCAAGUCAGACGUGAAAUACCGAGGCUUAACCUCGGGGCUGCGUUUGAAACUGUGGUUCUUGAGUGAAGUAGAGGCAGGCGGAAUUCCUAGUGUAGCGGUGAAAUGCGUAGAUAUUAGGAGGAACACCAGUGGCGAAGGCGGCCUGCUGGGCUUUAACUGACGCUGAGGCACGAAAGCAUGGGGAGCAAACA